UCAAGCCAGACAAGCGCCUUUACAUGAGGGCCCAGAGGCAUCUAGAAGUCAGAUGUGAGCUGAGCCCUUCAUUCAGUCACCAGUAUUACAGAUGAAAGAUUUAAGGCAUGGCCUGAAGAUACACAAGUCUUUCAUGUUCCUGAAGAAAAGUCAAGGUUGCUGGCCAGUGGUUUGCUGA
rnacentral:lncRNA from 1 species